rnacentral:lncRNA from 1 species
GGCAAUUAAAGUCGGUAUGGAAAUAAAGACUACUUUCAACUAUAUUACUGUUUUCUUUUGAUGAAUUAUUUGACGAAAUGGUGCAACAAUUAUCAAAGAAGUUUUGCCAGGGAUGCAAAGUUGAACAUGGAUCACAACAUAGACACGAUUGUUUGAUGGAUAGUGAACUGGAUAAACUUGAAAAAACAUUUUGAACAGGCGUUCUGUGAAUUUAAAU